rnacentral:rRNA from 1 species
AUUGAACGCUGGCGGCAUGCCUUACACAUGCAAGUCGAACGGUAACAGGUCUUCGGAUGCUGACGAGUGGCGAACGGGUGAGUAAUACAUCGGAACGUGCCCGAUCGUGGGGGAUAACGAAGCGAAAGCUUUGCUAAUACCGCAUACGAUCUACAGAUGAAAGCAGGGGACCGCAAGGCCUUGCGCGAACGGAGCGGCCGAUGUCAGAUUAGGUAGUUGGUGGGGUAGAGGCUCACCAAGCCAACGAUCUGUAGCUGGUCUGAGAGGACGACCAGCCACAAUGGGACUGAGACACGGCCCAGACUCCUACGGGAGGCAGCAGUGGGGAAUUUUGGACAAUGGGCGCAAGCCUGAUCCAGCAAUGCCGCGUGCAGGAAGAAGGCCUUCGGGUUGUAAACUGCUUUUGUACGGAACGAAACGGCUCUGGUUAAUACCUGGGGCUAAUGACGGUACCGUAAGAAUAAGCACCGGCUAACUACGUGCCAGCCGCCGCCGUAACAC